rnacentral:rRNA from 1 species
AACGUAGGAGGCAAGCGUUAUCCGGAGUAACUGGGCGUAAAGGGCGGGUAGGUGGUUGUGUAAGUUGGUUAUGAAAGCUCCUGGCUAAACUGGGAGAGGUUGACCAAGACUGCAGAACUUGAGUGGAGAAGAGGUAAACGGAAUUCCGCGUGUAGCGGUGAAAUGCGUAGAGAUGCGGAAGAACACCAGUGGCGAAGGCGGUUUACUGGUCUCCAACUGACACUGAGCCGCGAAAGCAUGGGUAGCGAACGGG